UGGCGUAAACAGAGGGGGGCGAACCCGCGAGGGGAGCGGAUCCCAAAAAUAACGUCCCAGUUCGGAUUGUAGUCUGCAACCCGACUACAUGAAGCCGGAAUCGCUAGUAAUCGCAGAUCAGCAUGCUGCGGUGAAUACGUUCCCGGGUCUUGUACACACCGCCCGUCACACCAUGGGAGCCGGGAAUGCCCGAAGUCGGUGACCCAACCGUAAGGAGGGAGCCGCCGAAGGCAGGCCUGGUAACUGGGGUGAAGUCGUAACAAGGUAUC
rnacentral:rRNA from 1 species